rnacentral:rRNA from 1 species
GACGAACGCUGGCGGCGUGCUUAACACAUGCAAGUCGAACGAUGAACCCGGAGCUUGCUCUGGGGGAUUAGUGGCGAACGGGUGAGUAACACGUGAGUAACCUGCCCUGGACUCUGGGAUAAGCGUUGGAAACGACGUCUAAUACCGGAUAGGACCUUGGAUCGCAUGAUCUGGGGUGGAAAGUUUUUUCGGUCUGGGAUGGACUCGCGGCCUAUCAGCUUGUUGGUGAGGUAAUGGCUCACCAAGGCGUCGACGGGUAGCCGGCCUGAGAGGGUGACCGGCCACACUGGGACUGAGACACGGCCCAGACUCCUACGGGAGGCAGCAGUGGGGAAUAUUGCACAAUGGGCGAAAGCCUGAUGCAGCAACGCCGCGUGCGGGAGGACGGCCGUCGGGUUGUAAACCGCUUUUAGUAGGGAAGAAGGGCUUCGGCUUGACGGUACCUGCAGAAAAAGGACCGGCUAACUACGUG